UACGGAGGGUGCAAGCGUUAUCCGGAUUUACUGGGUUUAAAGGGUGCGUAGGUGGGUAAGUAAGUCAGUGGUGAAAUCUCCGGGCUUAACCCGGAAACUGCCAUUGAUACUAUUUAUCUUGAAUACUUUGGAGGUAAGCGGAAUAUGUCAUGUAGCGGUGAAAUGCUUAGAUAUGACAUAGAACACCAAUUGCGAAGGCAGCUUACUACACAGUCAUUGGCACUGAGGCACGAAAGCAUGGGGAUCAAACAGG
rnacentral:rRNA from 1 species